rnacentral:rRNA from 1 species
GGAUAACAUGUUGAACCGCAUGGUUCUACAGUGAAAGACGGUCUUGCUGUCACUUAUAGAUGGACCCGCGCCGUAUUAGCUAGUUGGUGGGGUAACGGCCUACCAAGGCGACGAUACGUAGCCGACCUGAGAGGGUGAUCGGCCACACUGGAACUGAGACACGGUCCAGACUCCUACGGGAGGCAGCAGUAGGGAAUCUUCCGCAAUGGGCGAAAGCCUGACGGAGCAACGCCGCGUGAGUGAUGAAGGUCUUCGGAUCGUAAAGCUCUGUUGUUAGGGAAGAACAAAUGUGUAAGUAACUGUGCACAUCUUGACGGUACCUAACCAGAAAGCCACGGCUAACUACGUGCCAGCAGCCGCGGUAAUACGUAGGUGGCAAGCGUUAUCCGGAAUUAUUGGGCGUAAAGCGCGCGUAGGCGGUUUUUUAAGUCUGAUGUGAAAGCCCACGGCUCAACCGUGGAGGGUCAUUGGAAACUGGAAAACUUGAGUGCAGAAGAAGGAAAGUGGAAUUCCAUGUGUAGCGGUGAAAUGCGCAGAGAUAUGGAGGAACACCAGUGGCGAAAGCGGCUUUCUGGUCUGCAACUGACGCUUAUGUGCGAGAGCGUGGGGAUCAAACAGGAUUAGAUACCCUGGUAGUCCACGCCCUAAACGAUGAGUGCUAAAUGUUAAGGGGGUGUCCCCCCCUUAAUGCUGCAGCUAACGCAUUAAACACUCCGCCCGCGGGAGUACGGUCGCAAGACUGAAACUCACAGGAAUUGACGGGGGACGCCCACAGACGGUGGAGCAUGUGGUGUUAUUUCUAAGCAACGCCGAGAACCUUACCAAAUCUUGACGUCCUCUGACCGCUCUCGAGAUAGAGUUUUUCUUCUUCGGAGGACAAGAUGACCAGGUGGUGCAUGGGUUGUCGUCACCUCCUGUCGUGGGGAGGUUGGGGUUAGUUUCCGCCACCCACCGCACCGCUUGGACUUUAUUUGUCAUUCAUUCCCUUUGGGACCUCUUG